rnacentral:rRNA from 1 species
GAUGAACGCUGGCGGCGUGCCUAAUACAUGCAAGUCGAGCGAAAGGACGAGAAGCUUGCUUCUCUGAUGUUAGCGGAGGACGGGUGAGUAACACGUGGAUAACCUACCUAUAAGACUGGGAUAACUUCGGGAAACCGUAGCUAACACCGGAGAAGAUCUUGAACCGCAGGGUUCAAUAGUGAAAGACGGUCUUGGGGUCACUUAUAGAUGGAUCCCCGCUGCAUUAGCUAGUUGGUAAGGUAACGGCUUAUCAAGGCAAGUAUGCGUAGCCGACCGGAGAGGGUGAUCGCCCACAUGGGAGCUGGACCACGCUCCAUGCUCCUACGGUAGGGAGCAGUCGGCAAUGGUACGCAGCGGUCGGGAACCUGGCACAACGACGCCACGUCAGUGGCGGCGGCCCUCGGUUCGUAAUGCUCUGUUUCGAGGGAUAAACAGCUGUGGACGUAACUGAAGCCAGCUUGACGGUACCUAGUAAGAAAGCCCCGGCUAACUACGUG